UACGUAGGUGGCGAGCGUUGUCCGGAAUUAUUGGGCGUAAAGCGCGCGCAGGCGGGAUAUUAAGUCUGCUCUAAAAGUGCGGGGCUCAACCCCGUAGCGGGGUGGAAACUAAUAUUCUUGAGUGCCGGAGAGGAAAGCGGAAUUCCCAGUGUAGCGGUGAAAUGCGUAGAUAUUGGGAGGAACACCAGUGGCGAAGGCGGCUUUCUGGACGGUGUCUGACGCUGAGGCGCGAAAGCCAGGGGAGCGAACGGG
rnacentral:rRNA from 1 species